rnacentral:rRNA from 1 species
UACGAAGGGGGCUAGCGUUGCUCGGAAUGACUGGGCGUAAAGGGCGCGUAGGCGGCUCAUACAGUCAGGCGUGAAAUUCCUGGGCUCAACCUGGGGACUGCGCUUGAGACGUGUGGGCUUGAGUGGGGAAGAGGGUCGUGGAAUUCCCAGUGUAAAGGUGAAAUUCGUAGAUAUUGGGAAGAACACCGGUGGCGAAGGCGGCGACCUGGUCCUUGACUGACGCUGAGGCGCGAAAGCGUGGGGGGCAAACAGG